UACGAGUGCUCCAAGCGUUAUCCGGAAUUAUUGGGCGUAAAGGGUGUGUAGGCGGUUGUGUUAGUCUUCUGUUAAAUUCUUCGGCUUAACCGGGGGCAUGCAGAAGAAACGGCACAACUAGAGGAUGCGAGAGGUGAAUGGAACUCAUGGAGUAGGGGUGAAAUCCGUUGAUAUCAUGGGGAACACCAAAUGCGAAGGCAAUUCACUGGCGCACUCCUGACGCUGAGACACGAAAGCGUAGGUAGCGAAUGGG
rnacentral:rRNA from 1 species